GGCUCAGGAUGAACGCUAGCUACAGGCUUAACACAUGCAAGUCGAGGGCAGCAUGUGGUGCUGCAACCAAUGAUGGCGACCGGCGCACGGGUGAGUAACGCGUAUCCAACCUUCCCUAUAAUAGAGGAUAGCCCGGCGAAAGUCGGAUUAAUACUCUAUGUUUUCCAAUGCAGACAUCUAAGUUGGAACAAAGGUUCACCGCUAUAGGAUGGGGAUGCGUCUGAUUAGAUAGUCGGCGGGGUAACGGCCCACCGAGUCGACGAUCAGUAGGGGUUCUGAGAGGAAGGUCCCCCACAUUGGAACUGAGACACGGUCCAAACUCCUACGGGAGGCAGCAGUGAGGAAUAUUGGUCAAUGGGCGAGAGCCUGAACCAGCCAAGUAGCGUGCAGGAUGACGGCCCUAUGGGUUGUAAACUGCUUUUAUACAGGGAUAAAGUGACGUACGUGUACGUUAUUGUAGGUACUGUAUGAAUAAGGACCGGCUAAUUCCGUGCCAGCAGCGGC
rnacentral:rRNA from 1 species